rnacentral:rRNA from 1 species
AUUGAACGCUGGCGGCAGGCCUAACACAUGCAAGUCGAGCGAGCGGCGGACGGGUGAGUGAUGUAUGGGGACUGCCCGCUAGAGGGGGAGAACUACUGGAAACAGUGGCUAAUACCGCAUAUUGUCGGAUAGCACCUAUGGGAUUAGCUAGUAGGUAAGGUAAUGGCUUACCUAGGCGACGAUCCCUAGCUGGUCUGAGAGGAUGAUCAGCCACACGGGGACUGAGACACGGCCCAGACUCCUACGGAGGCAGCAGUGGGGAAUAUUGCACAAUGGGCGCAAGCCUGAUGCAGCCAUGCCGCGUGUAUGAAGAAGGCCCUAGGGUUGUAAAGUACUUUCAGUCGGGAGGCGUUACCGACAGAAGAAGCACCGGCUAACUCCGUGCCAGCAGCCGCGGUAAUAC